UUCAAGCUGCGACGGCAGUCCACAAGCGUCGCAUCGGCUUACUCGCCCGCAUCGGCCUCAAGGUUUCCUUCCUCGCUUCCUCGUCUCCUCGCUCUCUCCACCCUUUCCCCGCUGCUGCCUCGCAUCCGCUCAGAUCGUCACGCUCGGAGUGCGACCACCUCACAGCUGUGUCUGCGUCGUCAUUGAGCCUACAGAGUCCGCCCGAACCGCCACGGUACCAGGAUCCGGCUGUCGCGCCGCCUGGAGCGAUGAGGAGGAAGGGAUGGCGACGAACGGCUCGCGGCACUUGGAGGCCGUUUGAGGCUGCACAGGGCGACUACCCAGGCUGAUUUACCGACUUGACGGCUUCGUCCACCUCCUCGACUGUGCAACAGGCCGGCUCAGCGCGGAGCGGAUCCAGUAGGGCGUCUCCACGCCCGCUCGACUGGCUUCUUGAACACAAGCACACGCCAAACGGUCUCGCUCGACCCGCCUCUUCCAGCAUCGCAGCUGUAUCGACAUGACGUGCGUACUGAAGAUCAACUUCGGGCGGGACUUUCCAGCAAUAUAGCUUGGAAGUCCAACCCCGACUGGGUGUUGGGACAGUCUCUCCGAGGUACGAGGCGGGAUCAAGACGGUGGUCCAGGCGUAGUAGCUCCAGCGCUCUCUCUUACCGUCGUCAAGACCAUAAGGUAGGCCUUCGCCCGUGUCAGUCGCCCGUUCACC
rnacentral:misc_RNA from 1 species